UACGAGGGGUGCAAGCGUUGCUCGGAAUUAUUGGGCGUAAAGGGUAGGUAGGUGGUCUCAUUUGUCAGGGGUGAAAGCCUUGGGCUUAACUCAAGAAGUGCCCCUGAAACGGUGAGACUAGAGUUCUGGAGAGGGUCGUGGAAUUCCCGGUGUAGCGGUGAAAUGCGUAGAGAUCGGGAGGAACACCAGAGGCGAAAGCGGCGACCUGGACAAUGACUGACACUCAACUGCGAAAGCGUGGGGAGCAAACAGG
rnacentral:rRNA from 1 species